AGAUGUGAGGGUGAUCUGGCUGUGAGAUCUGUUACCCCAUGGAUCGCCAGGGUUGACUCGGCUGAUCCGGCUGACUGGGUGGGAGUCCCCUUCCUCCCUCUCUCUCCAUGUGCAUCCCUCCCAAAGCUGUGCACUCGCUCAAAGAGGAGGAGGACCCAUCUUUGGUCCAGGGUAUAUGAGUAGCCGUGCUCCCCUAGACUUCCAAACACGCUCUCAAGAAUAAGCUAUAUUCUAUCACAAGGCUUAUCAUUUUUUUCUAGCAGCUGAACAAGCACUGGCCUC
rnacentral:snRNA from 1 species